rnacentral:rRNA from 1 species
GACGAAGGUGGCAAGCGUUGUUCGGAAUCACUGGGCAUAAAGCGCACGUAGGUGGCGGCGUAAGUUGGGUGUGAAAUCCCUCGGCUUAACCGGGGAACUGCGUCUGAUACUGGAUGGCUUGAGUGUGGGAGAGGGAUGCGGAAUUCCAGGUGUAGCGGUGAAAUGCGUAGAUAUCUGGAGGAACACCGGUGGCGAAGGCGGCAUCCUGGACCAUUACUGACACUGAAUAGCGAAAGCCAGGGGAGCAAACGGG